rnacentral:RNase_P_RNA from 1 species
GCAGAAGAGAGGUCUGUCGCUUCAUGCCGGGCGCAUGAAGAGGAAAGUCCGGGCAACAUAGAGCACCAUAUUUGUUAACGUCAAGCCGGCGGCGACGUCGGGGGAAAUGUGACAGAAAACUACCGCCGGGAGGCUUAAACGCCUUCCGGUAAGGGUGAAAAGGCGGGGUAAGAGCCCACCGGGUGCCAUGGCGACAUGGCAUGCCGUACAUCCUAUGGGUUGCAAGGCCAAAUACACCGGCAGCUAAGGGUUGCUCGCCCAUUGCCGGGGGGUAGGCUGCUCGGCGCUUCGCGCCGGA